rnacentral:rRNA from 1 species
GUGGGGAAUAUUGCACAAUGGGCGCAAGCCUGAUGCAGCCAUGCCGCGUGUAUGAAGAAGGCCUUCGGGUUGUAAAGUACUUUCAGCGGGGAGGAAGGUGCUGAGGUUAAUAAGCUCAGCAAUUGACGUUACCCGCAGAAGAAGCACCGGCUAACUCCGUGCCAGCAGCCGCGGUAAUACGGAGGGUGCAAGCGUUAAUCGGAAUUACUGGGCGUAAAGCGCACGCAGGCGGUCUGUUAAGUCAGAUGUGAAAUCCCCGGGCUUAACCUGGGAACUGCAUUUGAAACUGGCAGGCUUGAGUCUCGUAGAGGGGGGUAGAAUUCCAGGUGUAGCGGUGAAAUGCGUAGAGAUCUGGAGGAAUACCGGUGGCGAAGGCGGCCCCCUGGACGAAGACUGACGCUCAGGUGCGAAAGCGUGGGGAGCAA